AACGAACGCUGGCGGCGUGAUUUAGGCAUGCAAGUCGAACGGGGCCGCAAGGCCUAGUGGCAAAAGGGUGCGUAAUCCAUCGAUGAUCUGCCCUUCGGUCGGGGACAACAGCGGGAAACUGCUGCUAAUACCCGAUAGUCCAGAGAUGGUAAAGGCGGGACGCAAGGCCUGCCACCGAGGGAGGAGUCGAUGGCCUAUCAGCUUGUUGGNGAGGUAACGCUCACCGAAGGCGAAGACGGGUAGCCGGACUGAGAGGUUGGACGGCCACACUGGGACUGAGACACUGCCCAGACUCC
rnacentral:rRNA from 1 species